UACGUAGGGUGCGAGCGUUGUCCGGAAUUAUUGGGCGUAAAGAGCUUGUAGGCGGUUUGUCGCGUCUGCUGUGAAAAUCCGGGGCUCAACCCCGGACUUGCAGUGGGUACGGGGCAGACUAGAGUGUGGUAGGGGAGACUGGAAUUCCUGGUGUAGCGGUGAAAUGCGCAGAUAUCAGGAGGAACACCGAUGGCGAAGGCAGGUCUCUGGGCCACUACUGACGCUGAGAAGCGAAAGCAUGGGGAGCGAACGG
rnacentral:rRNA from 1 species